rnacentral:lncRNA from 1 species
GGGUGUCUAAGGUUUUGAAUCAAAAGAAUUAAGGGUGCAAGUCCUUAAUUAAUUUCUUUGAUAGUUUUGAUUGGGUGUCACUUAAUUUGAUCAAGUUGGAUAUCUCCACCUAUUAGAGGGCAUGUGGAUCCUUUAUAGGGCAUUUCUUGGGUGCAAAAGGGGGUGUCAUUUUGUGGUGCAAGGGCUCUAAUUGUUGGUGCCUAAU